rnacentral:tRNA from 1 species
GACUUCGUAGCUCAGUUGGUAGAGUAGCUGACUCUUAAUCAGUGGGUCCUGGGUUCGAGCCCCAGCGGGGUCACCA